GCGUGAAUAGUUUAAGGGUAGAAUUCGAGCUUCCCAUGCUCGAGGCCCGCGUUCGAGUCGCGGUUCACGCA
rfam:Cladophialophora immunda strain CBS 83496 unplaced genomic scaffold supercont1.4, whole genome shotgun sequence.